rnacentral:rRNA from 2 species
CAGGUAGGACUACCCGCUGAACUUAAGCAUAUCAAA